UACGAAGGGGGCUAGCGUUGCUCGGAAUCACUGGGCGUAAAGCGCACGUAGGCGGACUCUUAAGUCGGUGGUGAAAUCCUGGAGCUCAACUCCAGAACUGCCUUCGAUACUGAGAGUCUCGAGUCCGGGAGAGGUGAGUGGAACUCCUAGUGUAGAGGUGGAAUUCGUAGAUAUUAGGAAGAACACCAGUGGCGAAGGCGGCUCACUGGUCCGGUACUGACGCUGAGGUGCGAAAGCGUGGGGAGCAAACAGG
rnacentral:rRNA from 1 species